GACGAACGCUGGCGGCGUGCUUAACACAUGCAAGUCGAACGGAAAGGCCCUGCUUUUGUGGGGUGCUCGAGUGGCGAACGGGUGAGUAACACGUGAGUAACCUGCCCUUGACUUUGGGAUAACUUCAGGAAACUGGGGCUAAUACCGGAUAGGAGCUCCUGCUGCAUGGUGGGGGUUGGAAAGUUUCGGCGGUUGGGGAUGGACUCGCGGCUUAUCAGCUUGUUGGUGGGGUAGUGGCUUACCAAGGCUUUGACGGGUAGCCGGCCUGAGAGGGUGACCGGCCACAUUGGGACUGAGAUACGGCCCCGACUCCUACGGGAGGCAGGAGUGGGGAAUAUUGCACAAUGGGCGGAAGGCUGAUGCAGCAACGCCGGGUGGGGGAUGAAGGGCUUCGGGUUGUAAACCGCUUUCGCCUGUGAAGAAGGGUGAGUGACGGGAAUGGGUAAAGAAGGACCGGCUAAAUACGUG
rnacentral:rRNA from 1 species